GUUGUAUGGUUAAGUGACUAAGCGUACACGGUGGAUGCCUAGGCAGUCAGAGGCGAUGAAGGACGUACUAACUUGCGAUAAGCGCAGAUAAGGCAGUAAGAGCCGUUUGAGUCUGCGAUUUCCGAAUGGGGAAACCCAACUGCAUAAGCAGUUACUGUUAACUGAAUACAUAGGUUAACAGAGCAAACCGGGGGAACUGAAACAUCUAAGUACCCCGAGGAGAAGAAAUCAACCGAGAUUCCGGUAGUAGCGGCGAGCGAACCUGGAUUAGCCCUUAAGCACUCGUUGAAGUAGGUGAACAAGCUGGAAAGCUUGGCGAUACAGGGUGAUAGCCCCGUAACCGACGCUUCAUCGAGCGUGAAAUCGAGUAGGGCGGGACACGUGAUAUCCUGUCUGAAUAUGGGGGGACCAUCCUCCAAGGCUAAAUACUCCUGACUGACCGAUAGUGAACCAGUACCGUGAGGGAAAGGCGAAAAGAACCCCUGUGAGGGGAGUGAAAUAGAACCUGAAACCGUGUACGUACAAGCAGUAGGAGCACCUUCGUGGUGUGACUGCGUACCUUUUGUAUAAUGGGUCAGCGACUUAUAUUCAGUGGCAAGGUUAACCGUAUAGGGGAGCCGUAGCGAAAGCGAGUCUUAACUGGGCGCUCAGUCUCUGGAUAUAGACCCGAAACCGGGUGAUCUAGCCAUGGGCAGGUUGAAGGUUGAGUAACAUCAACUGGAGGACCGAACCGACUAAUGUUGAAAAAUUAGCGGAUGACUUGUGGCUAGGGGUGAAAGGCCAAUCAAACUCGGAGAUAGCUGGUUCUCCCCGAAAGCUAUUUAGGUAGCGCCUCGGACGAAUACUACUGGGGGUAGAGCACUGUUAAGGCUAGGGGGUCAUCCCGACUUACCAACCCUUUGCAAACUCCGAAUACCAGUAAGUACUAUCCGGGAGACACACGGCGGGUGCUAACGUCCGUCGUGGAGAGGGAAACAACCCAGACCGCCAGCUAAGGUCCCAAAGUAUUGCUAAGUGGGAAACGAUGUGGGAAGGCUCAGACAGCUAGGAUGUUGGCUUAGAAGCAGCCAUCAUUUAAAGAAAGCGUAAUAGCUCACUAGUCGAGUCGGCCUGCGCGGAAGAUGUAACGGGGCUAAGCAAUACACCGAAGCUGCGGCAAUGCCUUUUAGGUAUUGGGUAGGGGAGCGUUCUGUAAGCCGUUGAAGGUGGUCUGUAAGGGCUGCUGGAGGUAUCAGAAGUGCGAAUGCUGACAUGAGUAACGACAAAGGGGGUGAAAAACCUCCUCGCCGGAAGACCAAGGGUUCCUGUCCAACGUUAAUCGGGGCAGGGUGAGUCGACCCCUAAGGUGAGGCCGAAAGGCGUAAUCGAUGGGAAACGGGUUAAUAUUCCCGUACUUCUGACUAUUGCGAUGGGGGGACGGAGAAGGCUAGGUGGGCCAGGCGACGGUUGUCCUGGUUCAAGUGCGUAGGCUUAAGAGUUAGGUAAAUCCGGCUCUUUCUAAGGCUGAGACACGACGUCGAGCUGCUACGGCAGUGAAGUCAUUGAUGCCAUGCUUCCAGGAAAAGCCUCUAAGCUUCAGAUAGUCAGGAAUCGUACCCCAAACCGACACAGGUGGUCGGGUAGAGAAUACCAAGGCGCUUGAGAGAACUCGGGUGAAGGAACUAGGCAAAAUGGUACCGUAACUUCGGGAGAAGGUACGCUCUUGAUGGUGAAGUCCCUUGCGGAUGGAGCUGACGAGAGUCGCAGAUACCAGGUGGCUGCAACUGUUUAUUAAAAACACAGCACUGUGCAAAAUCGCAAGAUGACGUAUACGGUGUGACGCCUGCCCGGUGCCGGAAGGUUAAUUGAUGGGGUUAGCGCAAGCGAAGCUCUUGAUCGAAGCCCCGGUAAACGGCGGCCGUAACUAUAACGGUCCUAAGGUAGCGAAAUUCCUUGUCGGGUAAGUUCCGACCUGCACGAAUGGCGUAAUGAUGGCCACGCUGUCUCCACCCGAGACUCAGUGAAAUUGAAAUCGCUGUGAAGAUGCAGUGUACCCGCGGCUAGACGGAAAGACCCCGUGAACCUUUACUACAGCUUGGCACUGAACAUUGAACCUACAUGUGUAGGAUAGGUGGGAGGCUAUGAAGACGUGACGC
rnacentral:rRNA from 1 species